rnacentral:lncRNA from 1 species
UGAAUCUUGUAACACUUAUCAAUUAAGUGCCCAGAUUUUUUGCAGUAUCUACAAAAUAAAGAACCUCUAGCUGGGUCAAAAUUAACUCUUUGUCUGAAAGGAGAAGGAUUAGGCAUUGUGACCUUAUUGAUUCCAACUGAAUGUUUGUUUGUGUGGACAUUGAAAGACAUAGAGUCUGGAUUAAACUAAGAAAUGAACUGGACUUGUCUCUGUUUAUCAUCAUUGAGGACCAUAUUGUAGACACUGUCAAGGGUAGGAGGAGGCUGCAUAAUCAGUAAGUUACUCCUUACCCCCAUGUAUGCUUCAUUAAGGCCCAUGAGGAACUGGAACACCUUAUUCUCAUCAUCUUCCUGUAUGAUGCCAUUUCUG